rnacentral:rRNA from 1 species
GAUGAACGCUGGCGGCGUGCCUAAUACAUGCAAGUCGAACGCAUUGUGGUUGAAAUGAUAUGAAGAACUUGUUCAGAUUUGAUUUUCAACAUUGCAAUGAGUGGCGAACGGGUGAGUAACACGUGGGAAACCUACCUCUUAGCAGGGGAUAACAUUUGGAAACAAAUGCUAAUACCGUAUAAUAUUAAAACCGCAUGGUUUUAGUUUAAAAGAUGGUCUUGCUAUCACUAAGAGAUGGUCCCGCGGUGUAUUAGUUAGUUGGUGAGGUAAUGGCUCACCAAGACAAUGAUACAUAGCCGAGUUGAGAGACUGACCGGCCACAAUGGGACUGAGACACGGCCCAUACUCCUACGGGAGGCAGCAGUAGGGAAUCUUCCACAAUGGACGAAAGUCUGAUGGAGCAACGCCGCGUGUGUGAUGAAGGGUUUCGGCUCGUAAAACACUGUUGUAAGAGAAGAAUGACAUUGAGAGUAACUGUUCAAUGUGUGACGGUAU